AUUGAACGCUGGCGGCAGGCCUAACGCAUGCAAGUCGAACGGUAACAGGAAACAGCUUGCUGUUUCGCUGACGAGUGGCGGACGGGUGAGUAAUGUCUGGGAAACUGCCUGAUGGAGGGGGAUAACUACUGGAAACGGUAGCUAAUACCGCAUAACGUCGCAAGACCAAAGAGGGGGACCCUCGGGCCUCUUGCCAUCGGAUGUGCCCAGAUGGGAUUAGCUUGUUGGUGGGGUAACGGCUCACCAAGGCGACGAUCCCUAGCUGGUCUGAGAGGAUGACCAGCCACACUGGAACUGAGACACGGUCCAGACUCCUACGGGAGGCAGCAGUGGGGAAUAUUGCACAAUGGGCGCAAGCCUGAUGCAGCCAUGCCGCGUGUAUGAAGAAGGCCUUCGGGUUGUAAAGUACUUUCAGCGGGGAGGAAGGGAGUAAAGUUAAUACCUUUGCUCAUUGACGUUACCCGCAGAAGAAGCACCGGCUAACUCCGUG
rnacentral:rRNA from 1 species